UAGUCUCGCACAGAUGCAUAUCAAUAAGCGGAGGAAAAGAAACUAACAAGGAUUCCCCUAGUAACGGCGAGUGAAGCGGAAAGAGCUCAAAUUUGAAAUCUUAAAGGGUUUCCCUUUACGAAUUGUAGUUUAAAGAAGUGUUUUCUGUUGAGGUUUUGGUAAAAGUUCUUUGGAAUAGGACAUCAUAGAGGGUGAGAAUCCCGUAUUUGACCUUUACUUUCAACUUUGUGAUACACUUUCAAAGAGUCGGAUUGUUUGGGAAUGCAGUCCAAAAUGGGUGGUAAAUUUCAUCUAAAGCUAAAUAUUGGCGAGAGACCGAUAGCGAACAAGUACCGUGAGGGAAAGAUGAAAAGAACUUUGAAAAGAGAGUUAAACAGUACGUGAAAUUGUCAAAAGGGAAGCGUUUGACACCAGUGUUGUUUUUCUGAAAAUCAAUUAAAGAACUGUUUAUGCUAAGCUGUUUAGACUUUAUCAGCUAACUGUUUAGUUUUGAGCUUUUCUUUAAUGCACUUUUCAGUUAACAAGUCAACAUCAAUUUCUUUUGCUGUAAAAAAGCUUGAGGAAGGUGGCUUGAGAUUCGUCUUAAGUGUUUAUAGCCUCUUGCCUAUGCAGUCGGAGAGAUUGAGGUCUGCAGCGUAGAUCCUUCGGGGCUAAAUGCAUUUGUGCUAAGUUAUAGCAUUUUAUAGACAACUUGUUGACUAUGAUUUGUCUUGUAGCUUACUCGCUUAUGUUAUUUUACCUACGCUUAGGAUGUUGAGUAGCGACAUACGCAC
rnacentral:rRNA from 1 species